rnacentral:tRNA from 1 species
UUUUUUAUAGUGUAACAAAACACAUAACAUUUUCAUUGUUAAAAUGAACUUUUCUAAAAAAA